GGAGGGGUGGCCGAGCGGCUUAAGGCGGCACCCUGCUAAGGUGUUUUAGGUGAAAUAUCCUAACGUGGGUUCGAAUCCCACCCCCUCCGCAA
rnacentral:tRNA from 1 species